UACAGAGGUCUCAAGCGUUGUUCGGAUUCAUUGGGCGUAAAGGGCGCGUAGGCGGCGGGGUCAGUCGGGUGUGAAAUCUUGGGGCUUAACCCCGAAACGGCACUCGAAACUGCCCGGCUGGAGGGCCGGAGAGGAGAUCGGAAUUCACGGUGUAGCAGUGAAAUGCGUAGAGAUCGUGAGGAAGACCCGUGGCGAAGGCGGAUCUCUGGACGGCUAAAACUGACGCUGAGGCGCGAAAGCCAGGGGAGCAAACGGG
rnacentral:rRNA from 1 species